rnacentral:rRNA from 1 species
CAGAGGGUGCGAGCGUUAAUCGGAAUUACUGGGCGUAAAGCGCGCGUAGGCGGUUAUGUAAGUUGGAUGUGAAAUCCCCGGGCUUAACCUGGGCACUGCAUUCAAAACUGCAUAGCUAGAGUAUGGGAGAGGAAGGUAGAAUUCCAGGUGUAGCGGUGAAAUGCGUAGAGAUCUGGAGGAAUACCGAUGGCGAAGGCAGCCUUCUGGCCUAAUACUGACGCUGAGGUGCGAAAGCAUGGGGAGCAAACAGGAUU